rnacentral:rRNA from 1 species
GCAAGUCGAGCGCAGUCCUUCGGGACCGAGCGGCGGACGGGUUAGUAACGCGUGGGAAUGUACCCUUCUCUAAGGAAUAGCCUCGGGAAACUGAGAGUAAUACCUUAUACGCCCUUUGGGGGAAAGAUUUAUCGGUGAUGGAUUAGCCCGCGUUAGAUUAGAUAGUUGGUGGGGUAAUGGCCUACCAAGUCUACGAUCUAUAGCUGGUUUGAGAGGAUGAUC